AACGAACGCUGGCGGCAUGCCUAACACAUGCAAGUCGAACGAGACCUUCGGGUCUAGUGGCGCACGGGUGCGUAACGCGUUGGAACCUGCCCUUAGGUUCGGAAUAACUCCCCGAAAGGGGUGCUAAUACCGGAUAAUGUCUUCGGACCAAAGAUUUAUCGCCUUUGGAUGGGCCCGCGUUGGAUUAGCUAGUUGGUAGGGUAAAAGCCUACCAAUGCGACGAUCCAUAGCUGGUCUGAGAGGAUGAUCAGCCACACUGGGACUGAGACACGGCCCAGACUCCUACGGGAGGCAGCAGUGGGGAAUAUUGGAAAAUGGGCGAAAGCAUGAUCCAGCAAUGCCGCGUGAGUGAUGAAGGCCUUAGGGUUGUAAAGCUCUUUUACCCGGGAUGAUAAUGACAGUACCGGGAGAAUAAGCUCCGGCUAACUCCGUG
rnacentral:rRNA from 1 species